rnacentral:misc_RNA from 1 species
GUACACGCGCGCCGUGCUCGAUUUCACGCGAGAUGUUCAACGCGGCCGAUGAGUUGUCGAAGACGUUCGCUGCGGCGGGCUGAAGCGGCUGCGAUACGGUCGCGAUGGGGACGACAUGCAGCAGUUCGCGCGCCCGGGCGAGAUGCUGGCGGCGUCCGGCAUUGGCGAGCAGGCCGUAGUGGCGAAUGUGGUGAAAGCCGCUGGGAGUACGUGCAGGCGCAAUAUGUGGACUACAAUCUCUAACCGGAGGAAAUCGAAGAAGCGGUCCUUUCCGAACGCGCAGAUUGAGCCGCGUCCACUUCACCGACCGAAACCAGCUGUGUGUGAGGACCGCAUUCAAGCGGUCAGAAAGCCGUGGCGGUUCCGGCGUCCUCCGGGCAGUCGCAACACAGCGUUGAGUGGUCCUCUGUGGCCGAAUAGUCAUCAAUCUACAAGGAGGCAAGCAUGACUAUGAAUCGGAGAAGAUUUGUGCAAGCUGCUGGCGUCGGUGCUGGUUUGGGUUUGACAGGUGUCGGCUGGGCUUUCCAUGACGAUAAUCUGCCGCUCAUGCAGCCAACCUACGGAGACAUAAAGGGUUAUCAGAUCCUUGGCUUCAACGACAUGAGGCUCCCCGGUCAGCCCCGCGCGCCGGGGUGGGAUCAGACCUACGAAUUUCGCGUGAUCGAUAGUGGAAAGGGCAGGUUCACCUACGGAGAGUGCUACUCUAGUACUACCGGUAGCUAUACAUGACUCUGCUCCGUAGGUGAACCUGCGGAUGGAUCAUUACCAAAGGAUUUUUCCUGACGUAUUGUGAACAGUAUUGAAUUGAUCGUUAGUGGAUUUUGUGUUUUAGAGUGUUGCAGUUUUGUAGCCUCUUCAACACCCACUAACGAUAAACUAAACGUAUUUACUUCUCAAACUGACGUCUGCUUUAGCUUAAUAAACUAAAGACAACUUUUAGCAAUGGAUCUCUUGGCUCUCGCAACGAUGAAGAACGCAACGAAAUGCGAUAAGUAGUGUGAAUUGCAGAUACCGUGAAUCAUCAAAUCUUUGAACGCACAUUGCACUGUCUGGAAUUCCGGACAGUAUACCUGUUUGAGUAUCAGUAAAUCCUCCUACAAAAGUCUCUUCACUGUAGACCUUGUAGGGAAUUGAGUCAACACCUGAAUAGGCGUGACUUUAAAUACAUUUGCUGGUGCACUACCCUUAAAGUUACUAGUUGAACAGAGUUAAAAGGCCUAGUGUCUUACGCUGUCUAGCUACUGUAACUACUGGUAGCAAAACCAAUAAUCAAACAUACAGUUCACGACUGUGACUAUGAUCUCAAAUCAGGUAAGAUUACCUGCUGAACUUAAGCAUAUUAAUAAGCGGAGGAAAAGAAACUAACAAGGAUUCCCUCAGUAAUGGCGAAUGAAGCGGGAACAGCUCAAAUUUAAAAUCACCUCGGUGAAUUGUAGUUUGUAGAAGUGCUUUCGAUGGUAGUCUGGGUAUAAGUCCUCUGGAAUGAGGUAUCAUAGAGGGUGAGAAUCCCGUCCUUGAUCCAGUAACUACCACAAUGUGAUGCACUCUCAAAGAGUCAGGUUGUUUGGGAAUGCAGCCUAAAGUGGGUGGUAUAUUUCAUCUAAAGCUAAAUAUAGGCGAGAGACCGAUAGCGAACAAGUACCGUGAGGGAAAGAUGAAAAGAACUUUGAAAAGAGAGUUAAAUAGUACGUGAAAUUGCUAAAAGGGAAACGAUUGAAAUCAGUGUUGGCUGUAGGAAAUCAACUGGUCAGUAAUGGCUAGUGCACUUUCCUGCAGUCAGGUCAACAUCGGUUUUGGUUGAGGGAAAUUAGUGUAGGAAGGUGACUACUCCGGUAGUGUUAUAGCCUACACGAGUGCCUUGACUGGGACUGAGGACUGCAGUACAUGCCAUUGGCUGGCGACCUGGGUACUAUUGAAUUUCUAGUUGCAGACUACGUGCAGACUGUAGCUAGCCGUUUAAUAAUUGCUCAGUUAGCACAAAUGUACUUAGGAUGUUGACGAAAUGGUUUUAAACGACCCGUCUUGAAACACGGACCAAGGAGUCUAACACAUAUGCGAGUUUUUGGUUGGAAAGACCAUAAGCGCAAUGAAAGUAAACGUAGGUGGGAAGCCGUAAGGCUGCACCAUCGACCGGUCUGGAUUUUUAAUGAUAGAUCUGAGUAAGAGCAUAUUUGUUGGGACCCGAAAGAUGGUGAACUAUACGUGAAUAGGGUGAAGUCAGAGGAAACUCUGAUGGAGGCUCGUAGCGGUUCUGACGUGCAAAUCGAUCGUCAAAUUUGCGUAUAGGGGCGAAAGACUAAUCGAACCAUCUAGUAGCUGGUUCCCUC